rnacentral:lncRNA from 1 species
GAGAAAGAGAAUGAGAAGAGAGUAAAACCCUUGUUCUUGCUCACAAACACAAAAUCAUCGAAUUAAAGCUAAAAUUAAAGAGGUUUUGAUGCAUGAUUGAAGAUUUGGAACAUACUAUUGUUUUUCAAUGACGUGCGUUGCGCGAAAGGCAUUGGUGUUUUCGACCGACAUCAUUCUUCAAACGAUUCGAGAUAAACGAUGCGUAACCAGCCAUAUCCGACAUCGUGGAGUGUAUUAAAAAGGGAGCAAUUGGACGAUUGGAUGCUGGGCUAGGUGUUUCUUGGAAUGCCCACGGAUUGUUCGGGUCAAAACCACGAUGAUGAGGAUUCAUUUUUUCGUAUUGUGGUUGGAUGAGAAUUUUUUUUAAAUAAGAUAGAGAUGAUUAUAGAAGAGGUGGAGUAGUUGUGGUAAAAAAUGAAUAGAAGUGUGAGUAUUUAUAGUGGAUAAUUUUUUUUAAACACAUAACCGUUGGCCAACGGCUAGCCCAAACGGCUACUUGUCUUGGCCAAUGAGAUCCUGCCAUGUCAUUUUGAUAGCCCCGUCCAACGCCCGGGCUGAAACCCCAGCCCAAGGGGCCACGCCGUAACCCAAGCCCACCCGGGGUGGUGACUUGGGCGUUUGUACCCAACCCACGCCACAACCUCGCCCCAUACUCCAUAUUCUAAUAUACCCGUUGCGGCGGGACCCAAUGACUACAAAAGGCGUGUCAGCAACGGCAAACAGAUACCGAAUAUCAAAACAUAAAUAAAAUGACAUGGUAAGAAUAUUCACUC